rnacentral:rRNA from 1 species
AGAGUUUGAUCCUGGCUCAGAUUGAACGCUGGCGGCAGGCUUAACACAUGCAAGUCGAGCGGAGAUGAGGUGCUUGCACCUUAUCUUAGCGGCGGACGGGUGAGUAAUGCUUAGGAAUCUGCCUAUUAGUGGGGGACAACAUUCCGAAAGGAAUGCUAAUACCGCAUACGUCCUACGGGAGAAAGCAGGGGAUCUUCGGACCUUGCGCUAAUAGAUGAGCCUAAGUCGGAUUAGCUAGUUGGUGGGGUAAAGGCCUACCAAGGCGACGAUCUGUAGCGGGUCUGAGAGGAUGAUCCGCCACACUGGGACUGAGACACGGCCCAGACUCCUACGGGAGGCAGCAGUGGGGAAUAUUGGACAAUGGGGGGAACCCUGAUCCAGCCAUGCCGCGUGUGUGAAGAAGGCCUUAUGGUUGUAAAGCACUUUAAGCGAGGUGGAGGCUACUGAGACUAAUACUCUUGGAUAGUGGACGUACUCGCAGAAUAAGCACCGGCUAACUCUGUGCCAGCAGCCGCGGUAAUACAGAGGGUGCGAGCGUUAAUCGGAUUUACUGGGCGUAAAGCGUGCGUAGGCGGCUUUUUAAGUCGGAUGUGAAAUCCCCGAGCUUAACUUGGGAAUUGCAUUCGAUACUGGGAAGCUAGAGUAUGGGAGAGGAUGGUAGAAUUCCAGGUGUAGCGGUGAAAUGCGUAGAGAUCUGGAGGAAUACCGAUGGCGAAGGCAGCCAUCUGGCCUAAUACUGACGCUGAGGUACGAAAGCAUGGGGAGCAAACAGGAUUAGAUACCCUGGUAGUCCAUGCCGUAAACGAUGUCUACUAGCCGUUGGGGCCUUUGAGGCUUUAGUGGCGCAGCUAACGCGA